rnacentral:ncRNA from 1 species
UUUAACGAGAGUUUGAUCCUGGCUCAGGAUGAACGCUGGCGGCGUGCUUAACACAUGCAAGUCGAG